GAGUCUAGCAGUUAUGAGCUCAGACUUGUCAGGUGGAUAGAGUUGGUGGUAUUGCAUAAAGUGGUAGGAUUCUGAAGCAAGCUAAAACUCUCUUGAAUGCUCAUUUCUCACCUGUGAAGUGGGCUUACUUGUAUCUUCCUCACACACUUAUGAAGACUUUGUGGUAUACUGCAGUUAUUUUUAGCUUUCAUGACCUUUUUCGCAGAAGAGAAGACUGCAGGUCAGCAGCAUGGAUUAGAGAAAUCCCACUCCAAGCUGCAAUGAUAACUACUAUUGUCAAUCUG